UUAACCACUUGACGUGGCCCAUGCCAUGUUGUCACAUGAAGACAAAAAAUAAAAGAAAACACGAUUCUUGUGUUCAACUUGGUUCUGCAUGUGCAUUUGAACCCCACCCCCCCCAUAACUCACAGCACUGGCCACCAUUAUCGACCACAUCUCCGGCGAGUUUUUCAUCCUCAGUAUUUUCAGACUUCCAUUGUCGACUCCACACAAUAUUUCAUACUCACCACGAUUUGAGGCAAUUCGGAGCCUCCGUAUCACUCCAUCCCACCCUCACGAGUCACUCCAGCAAAAGGUAAAAGUUAUAAGGGCUUUUGAAAAAAAAAAGCUUCAUCUCUAGUAGGUAGCCGUGACCUUGUAUCUGUGUAUUGAGCUUGGCUGGACUUACCGAUAGUUUCUAGUGAACAACUUUGCAAGGGAUGGGGACAAUGUCUGAAGAGAUCGUUAGGGCCUGCUAGUUUUGAAGCACGAACCUGCCAUUUCUUGAUAAUUGUUAUGGCUGCUAUUUUCAUUGCAAAACUGUCACUAUUGAGUGCACUUAUAAAAGAGUUUAUUCCUA